GAUCCUGGCUCAGAAUCAACGCUGGCGGCGUGCCUAACACAUGCAAGUCGAACGCAGUGUUUCCGCAAGGAAACACUGAGUGGCGAACGGGUGAGUAACACGUGGGUGACCUACCUUCGAGUGGGGGAUAACGUUCCGAAAGGAACGCUAAUACCGCAUAACAUCCUGCCUUUGAACAGGCGGAGAUCAAAGCCGGGGAUCGCAAGACCUGGCGCUUGAUGAGGGGCCCGCGUCCGAUUAGCUAGUUGGUGAGGUAAUGGCUCACCAAGGCGACGAUCGGUAACCGGCCUGAGAGGGCGGACGGUCACACUGGGACUGAGACACGGCCCAGACUCCUACGGGAGGCAGCAGUGGGGAAUUGUUCGCAAUGGGCGCAAGCCUGACGACGCAACGCCGCGUGGAGGAUGACGGUCUUCGGAUUGUAAACUCCUGUUGCUCGGGACGAAUGGCCUCGACCUAACACGUCGAGGUGUGACGGUACCGAGUGAGGAAGCCCCGGCUAACUCUGUGCCAGCAGCCGCGGUAAUACAGAGGGGGCAAGCGUUGUUCGGAAUUACUGGGCGUAAAGGGCGCGUAGGCGGCCUGUUAAGUCGAACGUGAAAUCCCCGGGCUCAACCCGGGAACUGCGUCCGAUACUGGCAGGCUUGAAUUCGGGAGAGGGAUGCGGAAUUCCAGGUGUAGCGGUGAAAU
rnacentral:rRNA from 1 species